AAAUCGUGUUGUGGGAAAUGUCUUAACAAUCCCUUGUAUCUUGCCCAAGCUUCAUAUAAGGAUUCCUACUCUCUUUUUGGAAGUUAGCUAUUUUUUCUUGAGUUU